GAUGAACGCUGGCGGCGUGCCCAAUACAUGCAAGUCGAGCGAACGGACGAGAAGCUUGCUUUUCUGAUGUUAGCGGCGGACGGGUGAGUAACACGUGGAUAACCUACCUAUAAGACUGGGAUAACUUCGGGAAACCGGAGCUAAUACCGGAUAAUAUUUUGAACCGCAUGGUUCAAAAGUGAAAGACGGUCUUGCUGUCACUUAUAGAUGGAUCCGUGCUGCAUUAGCUAGUUGGUAAGGUAACGGCUUACCAAGGCAACGAUGCAUAGCCGACCUGAGAGGGUGAUCGGCCACACUGGAACUGAGACACGGUCCAGACUCCUACGGGAGGCAGCAGUAGGGAAUCUUCCGCAAUGGGCGAAAGCCUGACGGAGCAACGCCGCGUGAGUGAUGAAGGUCUUCGGAUCGUAAAACUCUGUUAUUAGGGAAGAACAUAUGUGUAAGUAACUGUGCACAUCUUGACGGUACCUAAUCAGAAAGCCACGGCUAACUACGUG
rnacentral:rRNA from 1 species